GCCGUAUUGACAGAAUGGUAAUGUAGCCGGUUGCUAGCCGGUCAGUCGGAAACGACUUGGAGGUUCGAAUCCUUCAUACGGCG
rnacentral:tRNA from 2 species